CCCUUAGAUGCUCUGGGCCGCACGCGCGCUACACUGACCAGUGCAACAAGCAUCCGUCCUUGGCCGACAGGCUCGGGCAAUCUUUGAACGCUGGUCGUGAUGGGGAUAGACUUUUGCAAUUUUUGGUCUUCAACGAGGAAUUCCUAGUAAACGCAAGUCAUCAACUUGCAUUGAUUACGUCCCUGCCCUUUGUACACACCGCCCGUCGCACCUACCGAUUGAAUGGUCCGGUGAAGCCUCCGGAUUGGCGCGCACCUCGGUGCCGCCGAGAAGUUGGCUAAACCUUACCAUUUAGAGGAAGGUGAANUCGUAACA
rnacentral:rRNA from 1 species